AAGCAUAAAAACCGAAAGAGCCAAGUCCGCAGCGCAAAGUCAUAGCGGUUGGGCGUUGAGAAAGACGGACCCGCCUCUCUUGGGGGUAUAAAGCGCCUCCUUCUUCAAGAAUAUGCUCUUCUCCUUCUUCUCUCUCAUUUCUUCCUUUUUCAUCUCUUCUUCUUUCCCCUUCUUUCUUAAAGUAUAACUGGAUUGAUACUCAUAUAACAAAUCAAGCUCUAAAGCCUUUGAGCUUUUCACGUUUAAGGUUGAGUUAUUCGAGAUAACCGCUUUGCUAGUUAACGUAACAAAACAUGUCUUGAGGCCAAUACAUAAGGUUUUGAAUGAUGACGAGAAGGAAUCACUUCUCAAGAAGUACAGUCUCGAGGAAAAACAACUUCCUCGGUUAUCGAGCAGAGACCCGAUUGUGGGAUACUAUGGACUAGAGACAGGACAAGUCAUGAAGAUCACAUACAAAGACGAGCUCAGUGAUUUGCAAGUUACAUACCGGUGCGUCGGGUAAUCUCGUUCUCGUCUUGUUUAUUUCUUUAGCUCUCUUUGUGUGUAGAAAUUAAUUUGUAUCGCGUUUUGAUGUCAAAAUCUGUACUUUUUCUGUUUUUUUUUAAAACUGUAAACUUUGUGUUUCCUUUUUGAUAUUAACAUAAACCAAACAAGUUUGAUAAUUAAUUAAUGUUAUGGUUCAUAUAGAUUAAUUUAUUCCCAACUCUGCAUAAGACUUAUCUUACAAUUUAUACUUUACAAGAACAUAUGUAAGCAAUGGUCAACUAUGGACUUUCGUCGAGUCUGGCUGGUCCUCCCAUGGAGGCUUGACGGCGAAGUCUUUUCUCCUUCAGUGUGGCUUCCUUUCUCUUAAGCUCUUGCUCAUCCGCGGAGAAGGUGCUAGUGUUGUCCAUCGUACUGCUGGUUGUAUUUGGUGGUUCGCGUGCACAGCACAAAAUUGAGCCCAUGUGGAUCAAACUAAAAUCUUUGAUUAAAAAGAUUAAUCAAAUAGGAAAAAAAAAAAAAUUGUGCCGAAAAUAUAAAAUUCAAGAACAAAUGAGAGA